UGGGAAGAAUUGCAUCAAGGCAGGCAGCCAUGCAUGCAGCCAUGCCGCGUGUAUGAAGAAGGCCUUCGGGUUGUAAAGUACUUUCAGCGAGGAGGAAGGCAUUAAGGUUAAUAACCUUGGUGAUUGACGUUACUCGCAGAAGAAGCACCGGCUAACUCCGUGCCAGCAGCCGCGGUAAUACGGAGGGUGCAAGCGUUAAUCGGAAUUACUGGGCGUAAAGCGCACGCAGGCGGUCUGUCAAGUCGGAUGUGAAAUCCCGGGCUCAACCUGGGAACUGCAUUCGAAACUGGCAGGCUAGAGUCUUGUAGAGGG
rnacentral:rRNA from 1 species